rnacentral:lncRNA from 1 species
AUAAUCAGGGCCCACGCUAAAUUCGGUAAUAAAUGGGCUACUAUUGCCCGUUUACUAUCGGGUCGGACUGAUAAUGCUAUUAAGAACCACUGGAACUCUACUCUUAAACGUAAGUGUUGUUCCAUGUCUGAAGAUUUAAGCUUUGAAACUCCUCAACAGCCUUUGAAAAGAUCGUCUAGUGUAGGUCCUAGUACCAACUUUUCUUCUGGUAUGAAUCCGGGUAGUCCUUCCGGAUCCGACUUGAGUGAUUCGAGUCUUUCGGGGUUUCCCCAGUCUCUUGUUUAUAGACCUGUACCGCGAACCGGCGGGAUUUUCCCUCUUCCUCCUCUAGUUCAACCGAUCGAAACUGCUCCAUUUAUACCCGACCCACCCACUUCUCUUUGCCUCUCACUACCCGGAUCCGGCACCCGUGAAACCUCGAUUCAGACUGCACAACCAACCCAGCUAACUCAGCCUCCUCAAUCACCACCACCUCCUCCUUUGGCUUUGCCGCCGGUUGAUAAACCCGUACCACCACCAACAGCUGUUUUCAUGUCUCAGCUUCCUCAAACUAAGCAAAGUUAUGAUUUUUGUGUACCAGCUUUACCCAAAUCAGG